CAUCCACUUCUUUCAGCUUGACACCGUCCUGAGGCAAAGAAACUCUGUGUUCUUGCCUCUUACACAAGUGGCUGUCCUGGUCAUCAAACUGAGCUUUCCGUUUCUCCAACUUGGCAGCACCAAAACUUUCAGCACUGUAUGUGUAACAAGACACAUCAGUAGCAAACCUGACAGACAAUCGCUUCUUGAACGGCUUCAAUUCAAUUUCAUCAGUCACUGGUACCGACUUGUGCUCAUGGCUGCUGCCCUUUCCUGGUGCCUGUUUUAGGACCUCUUCCUCAUUUUGUUCCUUCUUGAUAGCCUGAACAGGACUGGACUUCUUCCUCACAAGUUCCUCCUCGUGAGCCACCUCAACAUCACAUGGCUCCACUUGACAGAGCUGAUCGGUGAAAGGUUCCGCAUAAUAUGAGUCCUGCUCGCCACUGUCUUCUUCUUCAUAACAGAGUUCAUCAACAAAUGGUUCAUCGUAACUGACAUCCUCAUCUUCAAUAGGGGUGGCGCCAUCGCAAGGUUCCUCUUCACUAGCUUCCUCUUCUUCUGCCAAAGGAUCUUCACAAGGAUCCACAGCUUUUGUUUCUGGCUCAGCCACAUUGUCGUCGUAAUCAUCAUCAUCGUAGAAUUCACGUUCAAAUGGUUCCUCUUCUUCACUGCCUUCUUCAUAUUCAGCAGCAACAGCACUCCACAGCNN
rnacentral:lncRNA from 1 species